GUAUGUAAUCGCGGCUGACAUAUGCCGAAAGGCGUCAGGUGAGGAAAGUCCGGGCUUCGCAGGGCAGGAUGCCGGAUAACGUCCGGUGGAGGUGACUCCAAGGAUAGUGCAACAGAGAUAUACCGCCUGCCAAAAGGCAGGUAAGGGUGGAAAGGCAGUGUAAGAGACUACCGUCCUUCUGGUAACAGAAGGAGCCAUGUAAACCCCAUCCGAAGCAAGACCGAAUAGAAAGCGAUGUGGCUGCCCGUCACGCUUUCAGGUGGGUCGCUUGAGACUGUUGGCAACAGCAGUCCUGGAUAGAUGAUUACACACGACAUAACCCGGCUUAUCGCUCUGCUUG
rnacentral:RNase_P_RNA from 1 species